GGGACAGCUGAUCUCUUCAGACACCGGAGUUUGCGUGUGGUUUUGCGGGCGGUUUCUGUGAAGAAGUCCUGAUCAGAGAAAGAAACCCGUCACUGCCUGGGAGCAAGCGACUGGCCCAGGUCUGGAAAUGCUGCAUAAGAGGUACAAAAUAAAACCAAAGGUGUUAAAUAGUUUGUUGGUAAUACAUUUAAACCUGCUUGAGGAAUUCCAUAAGAGGAUAGCUUACAUCGUAAGUGUUGGAAUUUAUGUAUUAGCAGGAAAAUAGUCUUAUGGUCAUAAAAAUAUCGGAUGGAGCUGCUGUGAUUCCAAGAUCUGUGAAAAAGUCAGCGUGACAAUGUGAUUUGACAAACAAUGAAGAAAUCCGCCAUAUUUCUAUUCUCAAUCAGUAUUAACUGACUCCGUUAAAAGUGUUUCUCAGCAAUCCUUCAAAGUAAAUUGUGGCCACGCCCUCUGUUCCACUGGGGACACCUCAGUCAAGGCGACCAUGGUGCAGUUUCACGAGUGUUUAAAUCACGUCUUUCUCUUGAGUCAAACUCGAGUCAUGGUGUCGUUGCUUGUGGUUCUUCAGACUGACGUUGUGACUGAACGACUCUCCGCAUUGCUCACACGUGAAAGGUUUCUCUCCAGUGUGGACCCGCAUGUGGGAAGUGAGGUUUAAGAUCUGAUUGAAGGAACGCUCACACACUUGGCAUUUGAAAGGCUGUUCUCCAGAGUGGAUGACUUCCUGCCUUUUUAUCCUCAUGAUGUCAUUAAAGCCUUUCUCUCACACACAUUUACGUGGAGCUCGGUGGGAUACGACAUGGUUGUUGCGUUUGUGAAUACUGCUAAACUUCUCUGGACAGCGGUAUGGUUGACUUUCUUUAGGAUGAGUCUGCUCAUGUUCCAGUUUCGCAGACUUGGUUUUGAAGACCUUCAGACAGUAUUUACACGGGUGAUCGUAAUCCGAAUGGAGCUGAGUGUAGUGUGUCUUUAGACCACCCCCGGUGAGGAACCUUUUCCCGCACUCCGGACAGACGAUAAAUUUGGACUUGUGUUCACAUUUAUGUUCUUUUAAACCUCUGGAUUCAGGAUCUGCUGUAACAAACUUGCCACAGUCCUGACACAGUGUAUAGAAAGGUUUGGCUCCGUGCUCCUGUUCAGCAUGUUUCUGAAACCCGGCGACGUCAUCAAACCGAACAGGAAGUGAUUCAAUAUUACGUGUUUGAAUGUCGUCACCUGCACCGCACCGAGCGCAGCAGAACACCUUUUUGUGUCGAAGGACAGAACAGGAGAGCGAGGCCUCGGUCCCACAUUGUGUGCACCACACCACAAGGUUACCCUGACCGUCCUCCUUUAAAGCUGUGAACAGAUCUUCAUCCAUGGACACAUCGGAGUCUGUGGCCUCUUCAUCUGAACUGUCUUUACUUUUAGACUUCCUCUUUCGUUUCUUUUUCACUUCCUCUUCCUGCAGACUUGCUUCUUCAUCAUCACUAGAUAAAUAUGACCCGUCCUCUUCGAUAAACACCUGCUCACUGCACUCGUUAUCUGACGACACGAUCUGAACCACAACCUGCAGGAUCACAGAAAGCCUUCGUUAACAACACUUGGGGAUCAUGUCUGUGCAGGUUCGGCUGAAGGCGGGUGACUCCUCCAGUCUCUGUGGUGUCCACAACUCUGACAGUCCUGCGUGACUGAAAACAGCCUCUCGUUGCCCUCAACGGUAAUACAGCACUCUUUCUGACAACGCCAGCAGAACUGGAAAAGCUCCAGCAGACACUGUGUGUUCACAAUCACCUCACGACUCCUGCAAAAUGGAAAAAAAAAUAUAUAUACACAUAUACACAUAGACACACACACACACGUACACUACCGGUCAAAAGUUUAGACACACUCUUUCUUUAUUUUUAUUAUUUUUUCCACAUUUUAAAAUAAUAAUAAAGUCAUCUGGAGUAACACAAAUGGAACUAUAAUGGGAAUUAUGUUGUGAUAAAAAAUCCAAAAUGAAUCUAAAUAAUUUAGUAUUUUAUCAUCUUCAAAGUCGACGCCCUUACGCCUAGAAUAUCCAGAAAUGUAUUCUUGGCGUUUUCUCGUCCGAUUUCUUGAGGAAUUUCCCCGAGACGCUUUCUAAACAGUAUUAAAGGAGUUCACGCCGACGCCGGACUCUUAUCGGCUGCUUUUCGGAAAAUAUUUCUCUCCGAGUCGUCCGUUUAAAAAAUAUAUAUAUAUUUUUGUAAAUAAAAUGUUAGUUUUCUAAUGAACUAACACCGAUUUCAAACAUUUAAUCACACACCUUCUGAUCAAAAGGGUUUUAAGAUUACAAGAAACAUUUCAGUCGAGUGUCCACAAACUUUUGACUGGUGGCGUAUAGUUAUAUAUAUAUAUAUAAGAUAUAUAUAUAUAUCAUAUACCUACUCUAAGUAUGCCAUUAAUUUGUUGAAAUACUGGUAAGUAGCAGCAAAAGCUAAACCAGAAACAAAGACAAUAUAAUAUCAUGAUGUUUACUUUUAACAUUAACGUUUUUGAAAGCAGCUGAUUAGAAGUCGAAGUUUUGUACUGCUUUUGAAUUAUUAAAACUUAACAAUGCU